CUCUAACGAAGAAAACAUAACGAAAAUGCAUAAGAACUAGCUAACUAAGGCGCAUAAAUAUGCUCCUAUCAAAUUCCCCCACACUUAGCUUUUGCUAGUCCUCGAGCAAAACAAAGAAACAAAAGAAACAAAAUGAAACAAAACAAACAAAAACAACCUAAACCUUCCAACAUUUGCCUCAGGGAUUUCCAAUGCACAUGACAAAUUAAAAAUCAUCAUUCCCACAGAUUUUAGCCAUCUUUACACUUAAGCACAUACUUAAUUAUAGUUACCACG
rnacentral:lncRNA from 1 species